UCUAUCAUGCAGUCGAGCGGACCUCUUCGGAGGUCAGCGGCGGACGGGUGAGUAACACGUGGGCAACCUGCCUGUAAGACUGGGAUAACUCCGGGAAACCGGAGCUAAUACCGGAUACUAUGUCAAACCGCAUGGUUUGACAUUCAAAGACGGUUUCGGCUGUCACUUACAGAUGGGCCCGCGGCGCAUUAGCUAGUUGGUGAGGUAACGGCUCACCAAGGCGACGAUGCGUAGCCGACCUGAGAGGGUGAUCGGCCACACUGGGACUGAGACACGGCCCAGACUCCUACGGGAGGCAGCAGUAGGGAAUCUUCCGCAAUGGACGAAAGUCUGACGGAGCAACGCCGCGUGAGUGAUGAAGGUUUUCGGAUCGUAAAACUCUGUUGUCAGGGAAGAACAAGUGCCGGAGUAACUGCCGGCGCCUUGACGGUACCUGACCAGAAAGCCACGGCUAACUACGUGCCAGCAGCCGCGGUAAUACGUAGGUGGCAAGCGUUGUCCGGAAUUAUUGGGCGUAAAGCGCGCGCAGGCGGUUUCUUAAGUCUGAUGUGAAAGCCCCCGGCUCAACCGGGGAGGGUCAUUGGAAACUGGGAAACUUGAGUGCAGAAGAGGAGAGUGGAAUUCCACGUGUAGCGGUGAAAUGCGUAGAGAUGUGGAGGAACACCAGUGGCGAAGGCGACUCUCUGGUCUGUAACUGACGCUGAGGCGCGAAAGCGUGGGGAGCGAACAGGAUUAGAUACCCUGGUAGUCCACGCCGUAAACGAUGAGUGCUAAGUGUUAGAGGGUUUCCGCCCUUUAGUGCUGCAGCUAACGCAUUAAGCACUCCGCCUGGGGAGUACGGUCGCAAGACUGAAACUCAAGGAAUUGACGGGGGCCCGCACAAGCGGUGGAGCAUGUGGUUUAAUUCGAAGCAACGCGAAGAACCUUACCAGUCUUGACAUCCUUUGCCACUUCUAGAGAUAGAAGUUCCCCUUUCGGGGACAAAGUGACAGGUGUGCAUGCUUGUCGUCAGCUCGUGUCGUGAGAUGUUGGGUUAGUCCCGCAACGAGCGCACCCUUGAUCUUAGUUG
rnacentral:rRNA from 2 species